CAUCCGGAGAUGCGUGGUGCGCACGCAUCUGAUGGACUAUCUGAUGCGUGCGCACCACGUGACCAAAACAAUCAUGGCGGACGUCAAACUGUCAAAGCGAUGAAGACGAGAUUGGGCCGAGCUGUCGGCAUUUACUUCAUCACCUACUCCGUGAUCUGUCAUCCACGAAUGCCAACCUGGGUCCAGUCACAAGAUUCUCAUUCUCAAGAUCAUCUCCUUGCUCCAAGUUACUACCACACUCUGACUUCAUCCUUCAACCAUGCCAAGCCUGUUCUUCCUACACCAAGCUCCGCUUACCUUUAUCUUGCCUCUCAACGUUGGCUUCCAAAGAAACUUACCUCCAUCUCUACACCUCAUUACUCCAUCUUCAGUGACUCCUCCGCUGCCAGUCUACCUACCACCAAGGAAUUUGAAAUAAAUCUUCUAUCGCCAUCUCCAGUGUUUGUCUUUCUGGGUUUCAACACUUGGGUCUGUUCUGGUCCUAGCCCGGCAUGACAAUUACUGUGACUAUGCUAACUCCCCACCUUGUUAAAAAGAAAUGCAGUCUGACACCCCUAAACAUUAGCAGCAUUCGUGUAUUUACAAUAACACCCAAUCUCUUGUGUAACUCAAAAAAAAGAACAAAAAACAGACUGAAAUUUUGACGGAGCGCCAUGUACCUCUCAAAAUCGCUUUGACAUCAGUAAACAUGACCAGAAGUAAUCCAUGUAUAAGGUGGUCUGGAUUAUAAGUGGUACUGUUGUUUUUUUGAAAAAAAUUACACUUUUUAAGUGCGGAAAAAAUACCAUGCUGUGUCAGUUUUUCUUUUAGUUACCUCAGGAAGUUCUCGACACUUUGAACAACUGAAGUUGCUUUAAAGGUACUGUCAAAAAAUGUUGGCUUUGAGUUCUUUUUUUAUUAGUUUCAUCCUUUUUGUUAAGUGUAAUUUAUUUCCUGCACCUGGUUCCUUUCAAUUGUCUCCUGCUGCUUUCUCUCAGUGAUUCACUCCUGCAGUAAAAACUCACCUUCCUUUCA